CCCAUCUGUACCGGGUCGGCCCGGGCCGGGUAGCCCCAGUCGGCCCCAGCCUGGCCCGGUUGUUUCCACACAUCCUUGUCUUAAGCCCAUGUGGGCUGAUUCUACCCACCAAUCAGAGGCUUGCUCUAAUGGAAGGUGUGAAUUUGCUGUCAGCAGUGGGUGUGUUGGCCCUGGUCGGCCUGAAGUAGACCCCUCGAGAAGAGGGCUGAGAAUGAGCCUUGCUUGGCCCGGAUAAAUACCAGGCCACCCAGAUAUGUAAACAACCUACGCUACCCGGCCUGGGCCGACCCGGUACAGAUGGGAAUGGGGCUUUGGUGGUGACGUGUGAGCUGAUUCACCUGGACACUCAGCAAAAUAUGGACUCUACACCAUGAGGCAGGCACACGUUAAUAACUCUAUAAGAGCACAUAAGCAUGAGGAUGUCCUCACACAACUGUCAUCUGGUUAUGACAGCAAUAGGAUGUCCUCACACAACUGUCAUCUGGUUAUGACAGCAUGAGGAUGUCCUCACACAACUGUCAUCUGGUUAUGACAGCAAUAGGAUGUCCUCACACAACUGUCAUCUGGUUAUGACAGCAUGAGGAUGUCCUCACACACCUGUAACCUAUCAGCUCAUCUGGCAGAAUAGAGAGAGAAGAGACAACACCACAUAUUGUACACUGUCCUGGAUUUGUUUUCUUUCUGCAUCUCAUCAUCAGCCUGGCUGAUCACCUGAUAACUCCUGUCAUCUGGUUAUGACAGCAAUAGGAUGUCCUCACACACCUGUAACCUAUCAGCUCAUCUGGCAGAAUAGAGAGAGAAGAGACAACACCACAUCUCCUGUUCCUGGAAAGCCUUCAGCCAUCCUUUGAUGACUGAGAACCUCCAUCAGCUCUGUCUCCUGUCUGCCUACAAUUAUUAUAAUAAAUAUUGUGUUUGACACGUUUUUUGUGCUGCCAAAUGUCUCAUUUAGAUUCCAGUUUUGAUAUUUUAAUGGAUAUUUAUAAAUUACAUUGAUUAUCACUUUUGUUGCAUGCUUAACUAGCUCUAUUGUGAUGAAUUAAACUAGCACCUCACUGUUAAAAGCUCGUUUUAAUUUCAAGCACGUUUAAGUAUUUAUGGACAUGAACAAAAACAGGAAAUAUAUAAAUUGAGAUUUAUUUAAUUAAUAUAACAAAUAACUGUUUAGAGGAGGAAAGAGUCAUUCAAAGGCACAUUCUUCUGGAAGCUCCUGAUCCUGACCACACCACCAGAGGAGACCAGCUGCAGACACCAGAGGAUCACCUACGACCAAGAGAGCAGCUGGUAACAGUACAUAAAUAAUGAAAUCAGGGCAGUUUUAGUGGGCUGUUUGGGAUUGUGUAACAUAAAUGAACACAUUACAGAAUAAUUUUCUCAUGAGGUAUUUUCAUAACUUCCUCUGCAGCAGACUGUAACUUAAGCCCAGGGCUCCGGGAGAGCUGCUAUCCAGCACGUUUCAGUGGUUUUCCUGCUUUAACAGGUUAGAUUAGCUGUUAAGCAGCUCAACUAUUUGUUGCUGAUUAAAACCAGGUGUGUUGGAGCAGAUAAACCUCUAAAACAUGCUGAAUAUUAGCUCUCUAGGGCCAUGGAGCCAAACCACACACACACACACACACACACUCACUCCUGUCCAGCUCAUCAGUGUGGUCUCCUGGCCUGGGAAUGCUGGUGCUGAGGUGACUGGUAUGCCUCUCGGGGUGCUAUUACUUUACUGGCAAACAAGUGGCCCAUUGUGUCGCAGACUCGUGUGUGCCUUCGAAACUCGCCGGCUUUUCAUAUGCAACGAGAGGUAUGGGCGGUAAGCAGACUCAGCAGAGCAGCCCUGUGGACAAAGUCUUAAGACACAGCUGGCUAUAGUCUCUCCCUCCUCUCUACACGUGUGUGUGUGAGAGACAGAGAGAGAGAGAGAGAGACAGAGAGAGAGAAAGAGACAGAGAGAGAGAGAGACAGAGAGAGAGAGACAGACAGAGAGAGAGAGAGAGAGAGAGAGAGAGAGCCCAGUGAAAACUUGUAAGGCUCCGGAAACCUACUGAAAUAGAAGUCUCUGUCUUCGCAGACAAACUGCAGCGCCUCCACCAGUUCUCCCCCACACAACGUCUCCGCCGAGGCCGUAUCCAAAAUGUAUAAUACGAGAGUCAGCGUGAGCAGGAGCGCACGGCUGCUCGAAGACAUCUUUUUGACCUAGGGGAAAAUAACAGUUAAUAAAUUGAGAUUUUAAAAAUAUUCUUUAAAAACUGCACAAGUAAGGUCGCGUCCAGAUGUUUUGUAAUGUAAUGUAAGAGAUUAAAGUCUUAAACUCGCACGCGCCGGUCCUUCCAGUGCCAAAAGCUGCUCUGACCUAGUGACUCAUGGGCACCACAGAUGAGGCUUCACACUUUAACUGUUAAUACAAGUAGGGUUGGGCAUUGUUCAAAAAUAAGUGCGUUCUUGGUAUCAAAAUGUGUCUUUAAAAUUCACUGAUAUGUGAAAUCCAUGGCACAUGACAAACGGAAUUUGAAAAUAGCGUUUUCAGCCCCAUUGACUUGCACUCAUUUUUCCGUUCUUCUGGGGACCCAUGGUGCAGAAGUGAGACUCCCUAUAGCGUUAGACCACCUCUUAGAUGCUUCAAAUUUAAGGAGUACCCUAACUCCGGCUGAUGCAGAGUUGAUGAACUUUUCACGGACAAGAAAGUCUUUAAAAUAUAAACACAUGAAAACACAGCAUGACAUGAGAAUACUUGUAAAACAACAUGUUUUAGCUCUGUCGGCUACAGAAGCACAUUUAUAAACAAGAAACAUGAAGUCGCCAUCUUAAAUAAACAGAGCGACUGUGGUUCUUUUGCCUUAUCAAAACACAAGAGACAGACAGCUUUGUCCAAACACAGCGUGGGGCAUUUAUUUGUACAACUCAUCCAUACAUCACCAGCAACUCGGGGGACAGCGUCCAGCCUGGAACAAAAUAGCCUCGACUGGAACCUUCUGCAAAAGCCCUCUCUACACAACAGACUGUGUGAUAUGCCACUAGAUGGUGCCAUCGGAUAAGAGAAAUACUCCAGAAAGAGACUUUAAAUGGAAGCUAACAUCAGCCAUGUGGGGACACAAUGAACACCUACAGACGGCACCAUUUUAUUUUUUAAACUAUGCUUUAAAGGAGACAUAACAUGCUUUUAAGUUAUUCCUUUUUACAUCUAAAUCCUUCAGUUGGGGUCUAAAUACAGUCGAGCUGCAGUUCUUUGGUCUGAUUUCCUCAUUAUUGUUGCUCUACAGACCCUCAUCUACCCCUGUUCUGAGGAGAGUCUUAACGAGCCGUUUUUGGGUACUGUCUCUUUAAAUCUGGAGGAGGAGCUGUAAACUCCGCCCCCCUCCAUAGUGCAGACCUGUACUCUCCUCCCCCAGUCGGACUUUGUAGUUCUAUAGAGAAAUCAUUAUUUAGCAUAGCAGAAACAUUAUAUUAGCAUUUUUAAAACAUGUGGGGAGAGUUGUUCAUCAGGCUGUUUCAAGGCUGCUAACUCUCUCAUGCAUUUGUCUGUAGUCACUCACACACACACACACACACCCGUCACGGCCGACGGAGGGACAAGCGAGCAGGCACGCGCGCGCACACACACACACACACACACACACACAAGGAAUGCUGCUUGCUUAUUUAUUUCUAUAAAAAAUGUUUUAAAAAAUGAUACAGCUCAUUAAAACACCAUUAAAAGUAUAUAUUUUAUUAAGAUCUCUAUCUAUCUAUAUAUAUACAUACAUAUAAUUAUAAAUAAUUUUAUAAGUAGUCUUAUUUUAUAUUGGGUGUCUUAAUGGCUGAAAAUGGAUAAAAAGCAGUUACAUUUUAAUUUAAAGAUUUGAGAUUCUAGUCAAAAAUAAAGAACAUUCCUCCAAGUGUUCUUUAAUGUGAUCAUUAUAAUUCUAAUGCUUACAACUUUGUUUUUAUUGUCUGCAAUGCGUAGCCUAUAUCUUUAUUAAAUAUGUGUUUAGUUGUAUCGUGGUAAUUCUCUCUAAUGUGUACACAGAGGUGGACAUCAGUGCUGCAGUGAAAUUCCCAAGAUCAGUCUGCUUUGCUAACAAAUAUAGUUAAAUCUGACCUGCAUUCUAAAUUAAUAUACACAUGUUCUAAGUAUUAACCUCACAGCAAAUAAGUAGAACAAUAUAAUAAACAGGCUUUAGUAGUUAAACAGGCGUUGUGCACACAGGUGCUUUGUGUCUCGGUGCUGGUGGUAUCUAGGUCUCAGAGUUCCUGUCCUCCUGCCGUCUUCUGUCGUCCUCAGGAUACGGAUUGAUGUUUCCUGAUGAUGAGGGAGGGGCAGUAUGUGGGCUUCAAACUGGUCCUGGACAACAGUGGGAGACCUCCGUUGUCUGAAUACUGAGACCAGAGAGUUGGUGAGAUGCAGAUCUUCUCUACCUCAUCUAGAAACGGAGUUGGUUCAGGGAAAACUUUUCCAAAGACCAGUUCCAUGAUGUCAUCGCCAUAUUCUGCAAUGAUAGACAAUAACUUUAAUGACAUAUUUUGUUUACAAGCAGCUUUAGGAAAGUUGUUUCUUUAGCUUUCAUGUUUAUAGUCACGUUUGUGUUUGUUCACAAGUUCACUUUGCUGCAGUGACUUCAUAUUUUCUUACAAAUGUAAUAAAAUAGUGACACUAAAAUUAUACAAAUGACUCCUUAUGAAAGGAAGCUCAUUAGAGAGCAGUGCAGACAGACUUACUACAUGCUGCAGCUGUUUUUGUAGGCCAGCUGCUGCUGAAUUUGGGGAAAGUUAUUCUGCACACAUCCAGAUCAGAUGGUCGAUUACAGAAAAUAAUGUAAUUCAAUAAUUUCUAAACAGACUAAACAAGUAAAACAUCAAAUAAAUCACUCUGCUGUCAUCAGACGGAGUGAUUCAGGGGGUGAGGUGUUCUUAAUGAUGAGGGUGGCUGAGGUGUGUCAUCACUCACUUUGGUCUGGUCCAGACCGUCUCUUUACUGGUGGGUCUCCUUCCUCAGUAGGUGACGUGAAACGCCAACAUCUGAACGUUCUGUGUUCCUUAGAGGAGAAGAAAAGUAACAUUAGCAAGCUGGCUAAAUAAUUUUUACUAGCAUCUCAGGGACUUGGAGAAGCAGAUCUUCACUUACCUAAACAUCAGACCAGUUUGUCCCAGCUGAGCUCAUCAGGGCGUUAGUCUGACAGCCUGUCAGUGAAACACGGCUCCAGCCUUCUGGAUGUGGACUCCAAAAAGCAAAGGAGCAUUUUUACUUUUGUUUUAAUUAUUUUACAGCCGAUUGUAUCAGCUUUCCGACGCUCACGCUCAUACAGACGGUGAGCUUUGCUGCGUCUGACUGAUGCAGAAUUAGCUUUUAUAUCUGCAGUGAGACAAAAAACUAACCUCACUUCACUCAGAGAUCGUUCUUUAAAACUCUAUUAAAUCCACUGUGUUGACACACUUUAAUGACUUUGUCACGCUGCAUUUUAGCUGAUAUGGGACUUUAUUUACUGGAUGCUAAGAUUACAUCACACUCACGUAGAAUAACACACAGGCUCUCUGCUGCUACAAUCAGUGGGAGGUUAUCAUCUGGUGUAAAAGAAGGCGUUGAUCAGAAAUCACGUUUAAUUCCACGAAAAUCGGCCAAAUCCACAUUAAUCUGGGUGCUAACUUUACUAGCUUACUGUGCUAGCGAUAGCAAGUCGGAUGCUAAUGCUUUAGUGCUGCUAAUGCCGUUGUCGCUACCCGAUCCGUACCGGAAACCCGAUCGGUACCACGCAUGCGCGAAAGGCGUCUACUUCCGCUCGAAGCAUUUUACGAUAGUUACGGGUCAGAGUAUCUGUUAAGAUGUUAAAUAAAUAAUAAGUAUCUAUUAAAAUGUUUGCAAUAGUGAAACAUUUCAAUAUAAUGUAGAUAAAAAUGAAAAAAAAAGAAAAACGUCGGACCAUACAGAUCGGUUCUACCUGAUCCGUACCGCGCAUGUGCAGAUGUUCUAUUCUUCUUGUGAUCCGUUCAAUGGCAGUUUACUCCGCAGUGUACGAGGAUACUGCCACUUGCUGACCGAGCGAAUUAGCCCGAUUGUAAACUAAAUUUGCGUUGUUACAAAUUGUGUUUUUAUAUGCGUGUUAAAUUUGAUUUAGUGUGUUUAUGCUUGUAUGUGUGGAGACGAUUGAUUUGAAUUAUCUUGAUGUUCUGUUGAUAAUGUCCACUGUAAAUUGUCAGUAAACACUGGCUGAUUAGUCUUCAGGUAACCUAUUACAUGUUUGUUUUUUCUCCACACAAUAGGUUAUAUUUUCAUUUAAAAGCUGAAAAUGUGUCACUGUGAUACAGCAGAUAUUCUUAAUUUGCACUACAUGUCCUAUGAAUGUUUUCCAAUAUGAAAUGUAAUAUAUUCUUGCACAAAAGCCAAUUUGGCUCAUCACCUAAAAUUUGUUUACUUUCUACUUUUGUGUUAGAUUUCUUAGUUUGCCACUUUGUCUUGAAAUAACUUAAUUCUUUGUAAUACCAUAGUGAUCAUUUUCACAAUGUUGCAAAAUUAAU